UACGAAGGGGGCUAGCGUUGCUCGGAAUCACUGGGCGUAAAGGGUGCGUAGGCGGGUCUUUAAGUCAGGGGUGAAAUCCUGGAGCUCAACUCCAGAACUGCCUUUGAUACUGAAGAUCUUGAGUUCGGGAGAGGUGAGUGGAACUGCGAGUGUAGAGGUGAAAUUCGUAGAUAUUGGGAAGAACACCGGUGGCGAAGGCGGCUCUCUGGACCAACACUGACGCUGAGUGAGCGAAAGCCAGGGGAGCAAACGGG
rnacentral:rRNA from 1 species